CUACGGGAGGCUGCAGUGGGGAAUAUUGGACAAUGGGGGAAACCCUGAUCCAGCAAUGCCGCGUGUGUGAAGAAGGCCUGCGGGUUGUAAAGCACUUUCGGUUGGGAGGACUGCUUCUAGCACUAAUAUUGUUGGAAGUUGACGUUACCUUCAGAAGAAGCACCGGCUAACUCCGUGCCAGCAGCCGCGGUAAUACGGGGGUGCAAGCGCUAAUCGGAAUUACUGGGCGUAAAGCGCGCGUAGGCGGCUAGAUCAGUCGGGUGUGAAAGCCCCGGGCUUAACCGGGGAACUGCAUCCGAUACUGUCUAGCUUGAGUACAGGAGAGGAGAGUGGAAUUCCACAUGUAGCGGUGAAAUGCGUAGAUAUGUGGAGGAACACCAAUGGCGAAGGCAGCUCUCUGGCCUGAUACUGACGCUGAGGUGCGAAAGCGUGGGGAGCAAACAGGAUUAGAUACCCCUGUAGUC
rnacentral:rRNA from 1 species